rnacentral:tRNA from 1 species
GCCCCCGUGGCCUAACGGGACAAGGCGCCGGCCUUCUAAGCCGCGAGUAUGCAGGUUCGAGUCCUGCCGGGGGCA